UACGAAGGGGGCUAGCGUUGCUCGGAAUCACUGGGCGUAAAGGGUGCGUAGGCGGGUCUUUAAGUCAGGGGUGAAAUCCUGGAGCUCAACUCCAGAACUGCCUUUGAUACUGAGGAUCUUGAGUUCGGGAGAGGUGAGUGGAACUGCGAGUGUAGAGGUGAAAAUUCGUAGAUAUUCGCAAGAACACCAGUGGCGAAGGCGGCUCACUGGCCCGAUACUGACGCUGAGGCACGAAAGCGUGGGGAGCAACAGGGAUUAAG
rnacentral:rRNA from 1 species